GAACUUAAGAGUUUGAUCCUGGCUCAGAUUGAACGCUGGCGGCAUGCUUUACACAUGCAAGUCGAAC
rnacentral:rRNA from 2 species